AGAGCGAACGCUGGCGGCAGGCCUAACACAUGCAAGUCGAGCGCCCGUAGCAAUACGGGAGCGGCAGACGGGAUAGUAACACGUGGGAACGCGCCCUUCGGUUCGGAAUAACUCAGGGAAACUUGAGCUAAUACCGGAUACGCCCUUACGGGGAAAGAUUUAUUGCCGAAGGAACGGCCCGCGUCCGAUUAGCUAGUUGGUGAGGUAAUGGCUCACCAAGGCGACGAUCGGUAGCUGGUCUGAGAGGAUGACCAGCAUCACUGGGACUGAGACACGGCCCAGACUCCUACGGGAGGCAGCAGUGGGGAAUAUUGGACAAUGGGCGCAAGCCUGAUCCAGCCAUGCCGCGUGAGUGAAGAAGGCCUUCGGGUUGUAAAGCUCUUUUGUCAGGGACGAUAAUGACGGUACCUGAAGAAUAAGCCCCGGCAAACUUCGUGCCAGCAGCCGC
rnacentral:rRNA from 1 species